GAAGGGUGCAAGCGUUACUCGGAAUUACUGGGCGUAAAGCGUGCGUAGGUGGUGAGUUAAGUCUGAUGUGAAAUCCCCGGGCUCAACCUGGGAAUGGCAUUGGAUACUGGCUCGCUGGAGUGCGGUAGAGGGUGGUGGAAUUCCCGGUGUAGCAGUGAAAUGCGUAGAGAUCGGGAGGAACAUCUGUGGCGAAGGCGGCCACCUGGACCAGCACUGACACUGAGGCACGAAAGCGUGGGGAGCAAACAGGAUUAGAUACCCUGGUAGUCCACGCCCUAAACGAUGCGAACUGGAUGUUGGGGGGAACUUGCCCUUCAGUAUCGAAGMWAACGCGUUAAGUUCGCCGCCUGGGAAGUACGACC
rnacentral:rRNA from 1 species